UGGGGAAUCAUGGUCAAUGGGCGAAAGCCUGAACCUGCGACGCCGCGUGAGUGAUGAAGGUCGUAAGAUCGUAAAACUCUUUUCAGGGAUCUUAAAGCCUGUCUGUCAACAACAGGUAGGUCUGACUCUCCCUGGAAGAAGCCCCAGCCAACUACGUGCCAGCAGCUGCGGUAAUACGUAGGGGGCGAGCGUUAUUCGGAAGUACUGGGUGUAAAGGGUAUGUAGGCGGCCCUUCAAGUCGCGUGUCAAAGUCCAGUGCUCAACGCUGUGUGUGCACGCGAUACUGACGGGCUUGAGGGCUGGAGAGGUGAGCGGAAUUCCCGGUGUAGUGGUAAAAUACGUAGAGAUCGGGAGGAACACCAGCGGCGCAGGCGGCUCACUAGACAGUUUCUGACGCUAAGAUACGAAAGCGUGGGGAGCAAACA
rnacentral:rRNA from 1 species